GGGCAUGUAGCUCAGUGGUAGAGCGUCCGCUUUGCAUGCUUGCAUGCGGAAGGUCCAGGAUUCGAUCUCCUGCCUGUCCA